rnacentral:rRNA from 1 species
GACCUAGUGACAGGUGCUGCAUGGCUGUCGUCAGCUCGUGUCGUGAGAUGUUGGGUUAAGUCCCGCAACGAGCGCAACCCUCGUCCUUAGUUGCCAUCAUUCAGUUGGGCACUUUAAGGAAACUGCCGGUGAUAAGCCGGAGGAAGGUGGGGAUGACGUCAAGUCCUCAUGGCCCUUACAGGCUGGGCUACACACGUGCUACAAUGGCAUCUACAGUGAGCAGCGAUCCCGCGAGGGUUAGCUAAUCUCCAAAAGGUGUCUCAGUUCGGAUUGUUCUCUGCAACUCGAGAGCAUGAAGGCGGAAUCGCUAGUAAUCGCGGAUCAGCAUGCCGCGGUGAAUACGUUCCCAGGCCUUGUACACACCGCCCGUCACACCAUGGGAGUUGGAUUCACCCGAAGGCGGUGCGCUA